UACGUAGGGUGCGAGCGUUAAUCGGAAUUACUGGGCGUAAAGCGUGCGCAGGCGGUCUGUUAAGACCGAUGUGAAAUCCCCGGGCUUAACCUGGGAACUGCAUUGGUGACUGGCAGGCUUUGAGUGUGGCAGAGGGGGGUAGAAUUCCACGUGUAGCAGUGAAAUGCGUAGAGAUGUGGAGGAAUACCGAUGGCGAAGGCAGCCUCCUGGGCCAACACUAACGCUCAUGCACGAAAGCGUGGGGAGCAAACAGG
rnacentral:rRNA from 1 species